GCCCCUGUAGCUCAGUUGGUAGAGCGACCGCCUUGUAAGCGGUAGGCCGCGGGUUCAACUCCUGCCGGGGGCACCA
rnacentral:tRNA from 1 species